AACAGGAGCGUCAGUUCACGCUUGACGCGUUCUUCAUGGAGUUGUUGCAGAAUCGGCUACAAGAGGAGCAAGAGAGCCGUGCUGCUAUGGAGCGUCAGUUCACCCUAGACGGGUUUUUCAUGGAGUUGCUGCAGCAACGUCUGCAGGAAGAGGAAUAAAGCGAUUAUGUUUACGAGCGUCCGUUCACCUCUGGCGCGUGUUUAUGGAGUGACUGCAGAAACGGCUGCAGGUCUAAGAAGAAAACCGUGCUGCUAUAGG